AGAGUUUGAUCAUGGCUCAGAAUCAACGCUGGCGGCGUGCCUAACACAUGCAAGUCGAACGCGAAAGCCUCGCAAGGGGCCUGUAGCGUGGCAAACGGGUGAGUAACACGUGGGUGACCUGCCUUCGAGCGGGGGAUAACGCUCCGAAAGGGACGCUAAUACCGCAUGACAUCCUGCCUUUGAAGAGGUGGAGAUCAAAGCCGGGGAUCGCAAGACCUGGCACUCGAAGAGGGGCCCGCGCCUGAUUAGCUAGUUGGUGGGGUAAUGGCUCACCAAGGCAACGAUCAGUAUCCGGCCUGAGAGGGCGGACGGACACACUGGGACUGAGACACGGCCCAGACUCCUACGGGAGGCAGCAGUGGGGAAUUGUUCGCAAUGGGCGCAAGCCUGACGACGCAACGCCGCGUGGAGGAUGAAGACCUUCGGGUCGUAAACUCCUUUCGAUCGAGACGAAUGGCCUUCGGGUUAACAGCCCGGAGGAGUGACGGUACCGAGAGAAGAAGCCCCGGCUAACUCCGUGCCAGCAGCCGCGGUAAUACGGGGGGGGCAAGCGUUGUUCGGAAUUACUGGGCGUAAAGGGCUCGUAGGUGGCCAACUAAGUCAGACGUGAAAUCCCUCGGCUUAACUGGGGAACUGCGUCUGAUACUGGAUGGCUUGAGUUUGGGAGAGGGAUGCGGAAUUCCAGGUGUAGCGGUGAAAUGCGUAGAUAUCUGGAGGAACACCGGUGGCGAAGGCGGCAUCCUGGACCAAUACUGACACUGAGGAGCGAAAGCCAGGGGAGCAAACGGGAUUAGAUACCCCCGUAGUCC
rnacentral:rRNA from 1 species